GCCCGGGUGGUCUAGUGGUAUGAUUCGCGCUUAGGGUUCACCCAAAGCACACUUGCGCGAGGUCCCCGGUUCAAUCCCGGGCUCGGGCC
rnacentral:tRNA from 2 species